UCACUAAGCGGAGGAAAAGAAACUAACCAGGAUUCCCUUAGUAACGGCGAGUGAAACGGGAAGAGCCCAGCACCGAAUCCCCUGCCUGCGCAGCGGGAACUGUGGUGUUUAGGAGAGCCUGUGGAGCGGGCGGAGGCGUCCGAGUCCUUAUGAAAGGGGCUACAGCCAGAGCGGGUGUCAGUCCUCUAGGACGCCACCGUCCCGUUGCUCAGUACCUCCUCGGAGUCGGGUUGUUUGUGAAUGCAGCCCAAAGUGGGUGGUAAACUCCAUC
rnacentral:rRNA from 1 species